AGCUGCCUCAGCGCCCCCAGAAGCCGGGAGCGGCGGGCGUGGACGAACAAGUGUAAGGCCAAGGCAGUCGCCUCCCCGCCAUCGGCAUCGGAGACAGGCCCGGGAGGGGCGCAAGUGCCCAAGGCCGGGAACAGAGCACCGACCGCUGCGCUGC
rnacentral:SRP_RNA from 14 species